rnacentral:lncRNA from 1 species
UCAACACAUUUAAGGUUGAAUUUUUAAGGAGAAAGAGAAAUACAAAAUGGAACAGAGUGAAGACCAUGUUUAAACAAAAUGAUGGUAGUACAAACACAAAGCACAAUAAAUUCCUUCAAGUAUGAGCUCUGGAAAUAACCUUCAAGAGAGUUACAGGUUAUGUUCCCUUUAAAUGCAGUUUAAAAUUGAGGAAGAAUUUUCUAUUGCAACUGAACUUCUAAAAAUCUAUUCAGUCUAAGCACUCUCCAUGCCUAGAGAGUAAGUAGAAAAACAUAUGUUGCAUUUGAAAUAUAAGUUUACUGAACGUGUAUGUCAUGAGCAACAAAUUUGAACUGAGAAGUCAUUGGGUGCAUACCAUAGCGUUAAGCAUUCGACGAGGAUAAUCCAUCAGCAAAACUACCUUCCCUUCUCCCAGGGAACUUAGAUCCAUCCCACUAUGAACAAGGCUGAACUGCUGUGCAUACUGAAAAAGUUUUAGUCCUUGUGUCUUAUUCAGAAAAGGCAACAGAAUCCAUAAUACUCCUCCCAUUUAUUCUAGCAUUUACAUCUGGAUGGAUGGAAGACAAUAGGACCACUGCCAUAUUUUACGACUUUGGGACUACUUAUUAUAACACAAACUUUUUAUCAUGACUCACUCACCUCUGUUCCUUCCCCUCCAAGUAAGCCUGUUGGAGUGUUCCCAAGCUCCUUGAUGUCAGAAGCAGUUUGUCCAAACUGUCCUUGCCUCACCUCUCCAGGCAAGAAUUGCACUUGACCUUCUCACCCCUACAGUGCAACCAUACAAAAUAUUUUAUAUCCCUGUGUUCCUUGCAGUUUCCUGCCACUUGGAGUCUAUCCAUGCUGCUGCUUCGCCUCUCCCUUAUUCUCUCCAACUGGUACAGAGUCAUAAUGCAGCACUGAGCACAGCUGAGGUGCCUGGAUUAUACUCUUCUGCCUUCUGAAAACUUCACUUCUGACAUAACUCCUCUCAUCCAUAGAAAACCCACCGGAUCUCAAGGGUUUUUCACAGUAUCUCUAUUCGGGUUCUUCAGUAGGUCUUUAAAUGAUUCAUGUUUUUCCACUGAUGGUUGCAUCACCCCUGGGUAAAUUAUUUGGAGUGAAAUUAAAGAAAGUUUAAGCUCUAGGUAAGU